rnacentral:tRNA from 1 species
AGUAGGGUGGCAGAGAGUUAUGCAGUAGAUUGUAAAUCUAUAAACGGAGGUUUAAGUCCUUUCCUUACUA